UACAGAGGUCUCAAGCGUUGUUCGGAUUCAUUGGGCGUAAAGGGUGCGUAGGCGGCGCGGUAAGUCGGGUGUGAAAUCUUGGAGCUUAACUCCGAAACUGCAUUCGAUACUGCCGUGCUUGAGGACUGGAGAGGAGACUGGAAUUUACGGUGUAGCGGUGAAAUGCGUAGAUAUCGUAAGGAAGACCAGUGGCGAAGGCGGGUCUCUGGACAGUUCCUGACGCUGAGGCACGAAAGCCAGGGGAGCGAACGGG
rnacentral:rRNA from 1 species